rnacentral:pre_miRNA from 7 species
UUUCGGGGUUCCUGGGUGUCACACAGAUCUUGCUGGGGCCUCCAAAUGAAAGAACCUAGUGGGGAAACCCCCACUCAAUUUGGCGUGCACCCAAGAAUCACGAACAGACGA